rnacentral:rRNA from 1 species
UGGGAAUAUUCCCGGGAAACCCGGGGUUAAACCCGGGAGGGGUUUUUGAACCGCCAUGGUUCAGACAUAAAAGGGUGGUUUUGGGUUACAACUUCCCAGAUGGACCCCGCGGGCCCAUUAACUUAGUUGGUUGGAGUAACCGGUUCCCCCAAGGGGACGAAUGCGUAGCCGGCCCUGAGAAGGUGAUCGGCCCCACUGGGACUGAGACACGGCCCCAGAUUCCUACGGGAGGCACCAGUAGGGAAUCUUCCGCAAUGGACGAAAGUCUGACGGAGCAACGCCGCGUGAGUGAUGAAGGUUUUCGGAUCGUAAAGCUCUGUUGUUAGGGAAGAACAAGUGCCGUUCAAAUAGGGCGGCACCUUGACGGUACCUAACCAGAAAGCCACGGCUAACUACGUGCCAGCAGCCGCGGUAAUACGUAGGUGGCAAGCGUUGUCCGGAAUUAUUGGGCGUAAAGGGCUCGCAGGCGGUUUCUUAAGUCUGAUGUGAAAGCCCCCGGCUCAACCGGGGAGGGUCAUUGGAAACUGGGGAACUUGAGUGCAGAAGAGGAGAGUGGAAUUCCACGUGUAGCGGUGAAAUGCGUAGAGAUGUGGAGGAACACCAGUGGCGAAGGCGACUCUCUGGUCUGUAACUGACGCUGAGGAGCGAAAGCGUGGGGAGCGAACAGGAUUAGAUACCCUGGUAGUCCACGCCGUAAACGAUGAGUGCUAAGUGUUAGGGGGUUUCCGCCCCUUAGUGCUGCAGCUAACGCAUUAAGCACUCCGCCUGGGGAGUACGGUCGCAAGACUGAAACUCAAAGGAAUUGACGGGGGCCCGCACAAGCGGUGGAGCAUGUGGUUUAAUUCGAAGCAACGCGAAGAACCUUACCAGGUCUUGACAUCCUCUGACAAUCCUAGAGAUAGGACGUCCCCUUCGGGGGCAGAGUGACAGGUGGUGCAUGGUUGUCGUCAGCUCGUGUCGUGAGAUGUUGGGUUAAGUCCCGCAACGAGCGCAACCCUUGAUCUUAGUUGCCAGCAUUCAGUUGGGCACUCUAAGGUGACUGCCGGUGACAAACCGGAGGAAGGUGGGGAUGACGUCAAAUCAUCAUGCCCCUUAUGACCUGGGCUACACACGUGCUACAAUGGACAGAACAAAGGGCAGCGAAACCGCGAGGUUAAGCCAAUCCCACAAAUCUGUUCUCAGUUCGGAUCGCAGUCUGCAACUCGACUGCGUGAAGCUGGAAUCGCUAGUAAUCGCGGAUCAGCAUGCCGCGGUGAAUACGUUCCCGGGCCUUGUACACACCGCCCGUCACACCACGAGAGUUUGUAACACCCGAAGUCGGUGAGGUAACCUUUAUGGAGCCAGCCGCCGAAGGUGGGACAGAUGAUUGGGGGAAGUCGAACAAGAGCACCC